AGUGAACGCUGGCGGUGGGCCUAACACAUGCAAGUCGAACGGCAGCACAGUAAGAGCUUGCCCUUACGGGUGGCGAGUGGCGGACGGGUGAGGAAUACAUCGGAAUCUACUUUUUCGUGGGGGAUAACGUAGGGAAACUUACGCUAAUACCGCAUACGACCUACGGGUGAAAGCAGGGGAUCUUCGGACCUUGCGCGAUUGAAUGAGCCGAUGUCGGAUUAGCUAGUUGGCGGGGUAAAGGCCCACCAAGGCGACGAUCCGUAGCUGGUCUGAGAGGAUGAUCAGCCACACUGGAACUGAGACACGGUCCAGACUCCUACGGGAGGCAGCAGUGGGGAAUAUUGGACAAUGGGCGCAAGCCUGAUCCAGCCAUACCGCGUGGGUGAAGAAGGCCUUCGGGUUGUAAAGCCCUUUUGUUGGGAAAGAAAAGCAGCAGGUUAAUACCCCGCUGUUCUGACGGUACCCAAAGAAUAAGCACCGGCUAACUUCGUG
rnacentral:rRNA from 1 species